CUAUGUUAUAUUUUGUAAUAUAGUAUUUUUUAUUGUUAUUAUAUACAAAGCACAGGUGAUUUACUAAUGUAUUACUAGUCUUGUUGAAUAAAAAAAGUACAAAAUGUAUAAUUUAUCUUGAUGCAGUGCUCGUGUUUACACAAAGCCGACAGAACUUCCUGGUUAGGGUUGUUACCAUGCCAAUAACACAGAAAAAACACCUGUUCUAUCGCAGGAAAAUAGCUGGUCAUGUUUAGAAAGGAUACAGUGAAUCAGUUCACUUCAAAAGUACUUUGUUUUGCUAAACCCUUCUUGUAAACCCAACAUUAAUAUCUAACCAUGUUGAUUCUAGUAACCUGCAAUCAAAAUGUCAAACAACACAUGAUAAAAGCUGUAUCUUUGCUAGUCAAAUCCAAAAGAUGAGAUUACUGUGCAACAGACAUAGUUAAUCAUGUUAAGAUCAAUAAAACAGUGGGAUUCAUUAGCUAACACAUAAAACUAGGUAUGGUAAUCAAACCGUGUAAUAAUCUAUACAAAGGUACAGGUUAAAAGAAUAUACAAUUAGCAUAUUAGACCAAAUUGUUCACAUCCUGGUUAUGUACGUUUAUGGUUUUAGCAUUACCCAGACAGAUUUGUUUUACACAAGUUUGGCUUGGAAUAACCAUACUAGUGGUAGGUGACAGACUUACCAAAAACCCCAGACCAAUCUGCCUUUAAAAGUUUUAAAUAUUCUGGUUUAAGGGGGUCCACAGAACAAUAUCACACGUGUGCUGCAGCAUGGAUUCGAAUCUGCUCCUCUCCUUUUUCGGGUGUUUAUUUUCAGCAAAAAUCUUCUAUCUUUCCCCUCUUUCUUGUCCAAUUAAGAAUAAAAUACGGAAAUAUAUCUAAUAUAUAUAUAUAUAUAUAUAUAUAUAUAUAUAUAUAUAACUAUUUAAAAUGUCCAAUCCAUUUCAUGAUGAGAUCAGCAUUUUGACUGGAUCUAAAGAAAAAGCAACCCACCACUGCUCAUACAAGCAAGUUAGCCAAAGAAGUCCAGGAAGGAACUGGCAAAAAAAGAAAUCCCAACAGUAAAUUAAUGCAAAGAAACUGAAUAUCCCUUUGAAUGUCACUACAGACAGGACCUCUCUAAAGGUUUUACUGCUCCUGUAGUGUAAAAACAUUUACCAGCAGAUCCUAUCUAUAUACUGGAAUCAGCAGAUUCCAUCUAUCAGUCCUAAUCAAUAGAUUCUAUUCCUCAUCCGUCAUCUACAGAUCCUAUCUAUCAGCCCUAAUCAAUAGAUCCUAUUCCUCAUCCGUCAUCUACAGAUCCUAUCUAUCAGCCCUAAUCAAUAGAUCCUAUUUCUCAAUGGUCAUCUACAGAUCCUGUCUGUUAACAGUGGUCAGCACAUGUUUACUACCAUCCAACAGAUCACAUCAGAUUACAACAUGACCUCUCAAAACGCAAACCCUCCGCAGUCGAAGGCGUCGAAGUCAGAGUCUCCUCCCUCAAAGUCGAAGCUGUUGAAGUGUGGGGGGUUGUCCACGUCCUGACUGCAGUGAUAUGAGGCCCCCGUGCCCGCCCCCAGCUCAGAAAAGCCCCCUGUCACUGCGCCGUGACCCAGGGGGGGAUCCAGGCUGGGGGGCCGGGAGGUCAGCGGAGACGAAGGGGAGCAGGACUGGAUGUAACCCAAGGCCGAGGAGGCGGCCGCCCCUCCCAUCAGCAGACACACCGCCCUGACUGCCCGCGCGUCGCUGCUGUUACCGUGGCGAAGGCAGUCAGAAGUACGGUGGGGCGGAGGUACGGAUGCCGCGCUCCGCAUGGACCGCACGGAUGGUCUGUGUCCGCCGGCUAGACACACACACACACACAGAUGAAGGUACUAUAUCCAGUAUGUCUAACUGAUGAAGGUACUAUAUCCAGUAUGUCUAACUGAUGAAGGUACUAUAUCCAGUAUGUCUAACAGAUGAAGGUACUAUAUCCAGUAUGUGUAACAGAUGAAGGUACUAUAUCCAGUGUGUGUAACUGAUUAAGGUACUAUAUCCAGUGUGUGUAACAGAUGAAGGUACUAUAUCCAGUGUGUGUAACAGAUGAAGGUACUAUAUCCAGUGUGUGUAACAGAUGAAGGUAC
ensembl:lncRNA